CGCUGCAUUCCGCUCGUUGUUGACCUCGUGGCCUCAAACGGCCAGAUUAUUGUCGUGUGUGGACUGCAGCGGUGACCGAAUCCGACCUUCACCAGCAUCACCAUUCUUCCUUCUCCUGUUCACCAACGUGCAUCGCCCGUCAUGGGUUAAGACACUGCUCGGACACUUCGAGGUGCCAUCGAUGGAUGUCGUGUCAAAAAGAUUCACUCUCUUCGGCUUUAUUGCUGGGUGGAGCAUCGCAACCUCUGCUGAGACCGGACCUACCUUCUAGCUUGCACUGGCACUCGUCUCAUGCAUAUACUUUCUCAACGACAAGAUGAAAAACCUUGGCAGGGCAUCUUCUACAGGGCUUGGACUCUUUGCGAGUGGCUGGAUAGUUGGUUCGCUGGUUGUCCCAGUGAUCCUGGCAUUUAUUUUGCCGCGUACUUGGUGUCUGGAGCUCCUUACUUCGCUGGUCGCUUAUGUAUUUUUAUUCUUGGGUUGCAUCCACUUGUGACGUUCCACCUACUAAUGUCAAAGACAAACAAUUUUGUACAUGAGAUGUUAAUGUAAACAUUGAUACGAGUAAUUGAUAGUCUGGGUUGGUGUUUUUUCAGUAAAAGAAAUUGGCUUGACUACUGAGAGAACAGUUUAGUUUCCAGCCUCGUCUCGAUGAAACAGUUUAGUUAGUCCACAGGGAUCAGACUAAAUUUUUUCCUUGUGAGGUUUCUAAAUGAACAGGUUCCACUAAAUAAAAUAGAAGAGUAAUUAUGAUUA